GGCUUUGAUAGUGUUAUGAAAAGCUUAUUUCUCAGUUGAGAUCAGCUGGUGCGCAUGCGCAGUCCUACGCAUACGUCUCAGAAUGCUGAGUUUUUCUAUAGCAACCGGAAUGUAGAAAAAUUUGAUUGGUUGACUGAGUCCUAAUAAGAACACCUGUGGUCUUAUACUAAUCAAGCUUCAGUUUCAGUCUGUUUGCGUGUAUGAGAAGCCGUCUCUGUGCUCAUACAUGGCCUGUGGGGAAUUGUUGCGUUGUUGACAAAACAACAACAAUUACCAGCACUUGUAACCGUGGAAAUGUCUACUCCUACAUGUUGAUAUGCUGAGGAAUCAACUGGAAACAUGAGGCUGGUGACUGAAUGAGCUUUAAUGGACUCAACCUUCCGGCAGCAAAAAUUCCUUCCAAUGUUCUAUACAGAACUUUUAACAACAGUUGCAGUGACAUGCUGACUUUACAGUUCAGCGAUUGGCUAUUUUAUUCAGAAGGCGGGGCUUCUUGCGAUUGAUCAGUCACGUUGCAUUUUUUCCCCAUUCAAAACUACUACAUGAGCGACAUGUCCAUUGGGUACGGUCUUUGAUAAUACGCAGCUGGUGUUUUCAACAGGGAUGCUACAACCUCCAUCUCGGUUUGUCUGAAGGGGCUGAGGAGUGCUAUUUCCUGUGCUGAGUGUAAAAGAAAGAAAACGAAGAAGAAAAAGAACAGAGAAAGAUGGAGAGAGAGAAAGAGACUGCUGCAAAGGCCUCUGGGUAUUGGCUGGUUUGUGGUUAGGUCACAGUCUGAAGCGAGAGGAGGAAGGAGGAGCGGGAGGGGGGCUUCCACUUUCCUUCCUACCGCUCACCAAAUUGAUACAGCCACUGCCAAGGGGAAACUCCCAAAGCGGGACCCAUUUAGGGCAAAACAGGGCAAAAAAGCACAAAAAUGUGACGGCAGAACCCUAAAGCUCGCAGAGAACUUUGCACUCGCUCGAGGAGGGAAUGCACUUCAACGACACAGGCAGAAAAGCAAGGCUUGUGUGUUUUGCACCUGUGUGGAGCCCGGCUGAAAGGAGAUGUGUGGAAAGAGACAUCUGUGGAGAGGUGGAGGAAAGUGAGAGAAGGCUGGAGGGAGUUAUAUGUGUGGGGAGAGAGAGAGAGAGAGAAAGAGAGAGAGACAGAUAACUGGAGGAAAACUGUGAAACAGUGGUUUGAUAAAAAUGGGUGCACAGCUGUCAAUAGCUGAAGUGAAAACAGGAAACAAAUGAAGAUGUCAUCUCCCGACACAUCUGACAACCCCAUGAUGACAUUGAGUAGGUAUUUUAGGAUGCGAGUAGGAGUGAGAAUUCACAGGCGGAUGGCUCGAAGAGUACGUUUUGACCGAUCACACAGACCCCUGGCACAGUAUCGCUCCAUGCCCUCCUUGCGGGUACGAGGCAAGACAUUAGGCCUCAGAAUCUGAGUGUUAGCGACUUGCUUGCUCUGUUCACACUCUCACAUCCUGAGCAGGCGUUUGAGCGUUGCGGACUGAAAAGGUCAGUGGAACGUAACCACAGAGGAGCUGAAGGAGCCCGUUAGCUGUGACAACCAAAGGCCUAACACUGGUCUCGCAUCUCUGUAUGGAGUGUAGUGUCACUUACUCAGCAAACCCUUAUCGCAAAGAUGUCCCCUGACACUACGGAAGCAUUUCCAGACACUUGUCUUGACAAAGUACAAUUAAUAUUUUUGUUUAAUUAAAAUUAGUUUAUUUUUAUUAAAUGUUCCAUUUCAUGUUAAUGUAAUAUAAAUUAAAAUAUUAAAAAAUAUUUAAAUAAGCAAUAAACAAUAGCAAUGGUAACAUGUCAGCAUAAUAUAGAAUGUAAAAUUAUGUUUAAUCAAUGCUACACUCUUCUUGUUAUUUAAAAAAAUUAAAUAACAUUAUAUUGAACUAAUCUAAAAUAUUAAACUAAUCACAAAAUGAAAAAUUUUGAUA